UUGAAAGGUCAAAAACGUCAAACGCAUGCUGCCGUCAACUUGGAAUAACAACAAUAUCUUCAGAAAUUAGCCGCACGUUAAUAUUUGAAAAGCGGCAGCGCAAAGAGUUACACAUACAUUAAUUAAAAGCGGUGUUUUAUAGGUUUCUGUUGCAGAAAUGUCUGGAAAAGCCAAGGAAAUCCUAAAAAUUGACUUGUACGGUUUACUCGGUAUUGAGAUCAAUGCAACAACAAAACAGAUCAAGAAAGCUUAUAGACAGAAGGCCUUGACAUGCCACCCUGACAAGAACCCAGACAACCCAAAAGCGGCUGAACUCUUCCACCAGUUGUCCCAGGCUCUUGAGGUGCUGUCGGACGCUGCUGCAAGGGCUGCCUACGACAAGAUCUGUGCUGCUAAGAAACAAGCAGAAGAAAGAAAUAGGAAACUUGAUGACAAGAGGAAGAAAAUUAAACUUGACUUGGAGGCCAGAGAACGACGGGCAGAAGCUCAGAGCCAGGAGGAGGUGCAGAUCACUAGAACACUUGAAGAAGAGAUUGCCCGCUUAAGAGAAGAAGGAUCCAGACAGCUUGAAGAAGAGCAGAGACUCAUCAGAGAGCAGAUCCAGAGAGAAAGAGAAGGGCAACAACAGACGGGAGACUACGCUCAGAGAAACUCGGGAGUGGAGAGAUGUUCCAAGAGCAAUGCCACCCCCAAAUUGAAGUUGAAGUGGAAAUGUAAAAAAGAGGAUGAGAACAAUGGAGGUUACUCUCGGGACCUUCUUUCUGAACUGCUGCAUAAGUAUGGGGAUGUGUUGAAUGUUAUUUUAUCAAGUAAGAAAAAAGGAAGUGCUGUGGUGGAGUUUUCAUCCGUGAGAGCUGCUGAGCUGGCUGUUAAAAAUGAAAUUGGACUGAGUAACAACCCCUUGAAGAUAUCUUGGCUUGAAGGACAGCCCGAGGUCGUUCCUGCAGCAUUUCAGUCUGGCCAGUUCACGUCCUCACAGGGCUCCCUGUCAACUGAGCGUGACUAUGAGAGCGUAGUGAUGAUGAGGAUGAGGCAGGCCGCCGAGCGCCAGAAACUCAUAGAACAGAUGCAAAGAGAAGACGAGGAGGACGCGUAGCAGCAGCGGUCCUGCCGAGAGAGAGGGAUACAACUAUCCACUACUGGCUUUAGUUUCAUAAAGACUGGGUGAGCAGGCAUGUACGAGAUAAGAAGUGAGGCCUUCUGCAGAAUUAAGCAUUAUGCUGCAGGG